GAUGAACGCUGGCGGCGUGCUUAACACAUGCAAGUCGAACGGAAAGGCUCCUGCUUGCAGGGGUACUCGAGUGGCGAACGGGUGAGUAACACGUGGGUGAUCUGCCCUGCACUUCGGGAUAAGCCUGGGAAACUGGGUCUAAUACCGGAUAGGACCAUCGUUUAGUGUCGGUGGUGGAAAGUUUUUUCGGUGUGGGAUGAGCUCGCGGCCUAUCAGCUUGUUGGUGGGGUAAUGGCCUACCAAGGCGUCGACGGGUAGCCGGCCUGAGAGGGCGUACGGCCACAUUGGGACUGAGAUACGGCCCAGACUCCUACGGGAGGCAGCAGUGGGGAAUAUUGCACAAUGGGCGCAAGCCUGAUGCAGCGACGCCGCGUGGGGGAUGACGGCCUUCGGGUUGUAAACUCCUUUCGCCAGGGACGAAGCGAAAGUGACGGUACCUGGAUAAGAAGCACCGGCUAACUACGUG
rnacentral:rRNA from 1 species